CUAAUCUAAGCGGAGACGAAUCUAAUCGAUUCGUGAGCGGCCGAAUGGUCACGAAUGUAUCCGAAAAUGCGCACGAGCAACCUGUAAGCCAGCCAGGGAGUGAGACAGCAUGAUUGAAGGGACUGUAGGCAGGCAGACCAGCAGAGAGUCUCCGACCGCUCUGGAGCAGAAGUCCGUGAGACACAAACUCUGGAUUCACAACAAGAGAAGCUUUUCCAAUCUACCGUAGUUAUAGCAACCAGUCUCAAUAACGGGAUUAUAACGGCCGCGUGGCACAUUAGUAGAGGAAGAGUCGUUACUCUGUGGAAUCAAAGAAUUUUCCAGUUGAUUUUAAAAGUGGAUUUGUACGUGGCCAACUGAACCGGGUGAAACGAGCGGUUGCCUUGCACGGAAAGAAAUGCAAACCGCGGCGGAACGGAGAGACGGUCCUUCCACACAGCAAUUCUUUCCGCCAGGAGUUAUUUUAAGAAGGGAGCCUAUAAUAUACAUGACCAUACGUGAACACUGCGGGCAAGGGUUUCAACCGUCCAGAGUUUUUAUUGAUUAAAAACAAACAAACAAGCAUAUGUGAGGAACUUCAGAGUGCUCAUGAGGCAUGUCAGCAAUAUCAAAUGAUCUGGAAAAGCUCAAGAGCAACUUUCGUGCAAUUGCAUCAUAAUUCUGGAAUAAUUUGGCCAAAGACAACAUUGUUUUCUUGAUCCUGUGCAGUCUUCUGGUACUAAUGUUCAUUUGGUCUGUGUAAUUAGUUUAAUAUCCUGUCAGUUCUGGAUUUGAUCAUAAAGACAGGACGGCUCCUGAGGCUAAAAGAUGGCUGGAGAAAAUUUAUGGUCUAUAUUUUGACUGGCGUUAAGAUGAACUGACCAUAUCGCCCCCAGUAGCACACGUGUGAUUGGAUCACUGUCACAUUUAUGUCAUUGUAUUUGUUGCUUUGGUAAAUGACUUAACAAAACAGUCAAUCAUUGUGACCUGCUGAAAUAAAAUGUAAUAAUAAUAAUAAAAUAAAAAAAAA
ensembl:lncRNA